rnacentral:rRNA from 1 species
AUGGUUGACCCCGGAUCAGGUAGGGAUACCC